GAUCAACGCCGCGUGAGGGAUGAAGGCCUCUGGGCUGUAAACCUCUUUUAUCAAGGAAGAAGAUCUGACGGUACUUGAUGAAUAAGCCACGGCUAAUUCCGUGCCAGCAGCCGCGGUAAUACGGGAGUGGCAAGCGUUAUCCGGAAUUAUUGGGCGUAAAGCGUCCGCAGGCGGUUUUGUAAGUCUGUCGUUAAAGCGUGGAGCUUAACUCCAUUUAAGCGAUGGAAACUGCAAGACUAGAGUGUGGUAGGGGCAGAGGGAAUUCCCGGUGUAGCGGUGAAAUGCGUAGAUAUCGGGAAGAACACCAGUGGCGAAGGCGCUCUGCUGGGCCAUAACUGACGCUCAUGGACGAAAGCCAGGGGAGCGAAAGGGAUUAGAUACCCCUGUAGUCCUGGCCGUAAACGAUGAACACUAGGUGUCGGGGGAAUCGACCCCCUCGGUGUCGUAGCCAACGCGUUAAGUGUUCCGCCUGGGGAGUACGCACGCAAGUGUGAAACUCAAAGGAAUUGACGGGGGCCCGCACAAGCGGUGGAGUAUGUGGG
rnacentral:rRNA from 1 species